CACUACCUCUCUAGGGUCUGGAUUACAGCCGUUGGUGGUCCGAACCCCAGGCGCCACCGCCGCAUCACCACCCCGAGUCCCACCUUUCCAGCGCACCGCCGCCGCAGCAUGACCUUCCCCGCCCCGUCGCUUACUCCUCCUACCACUGUCUCUAUCCUAAUCCUCACCCCAACCCUUACCCUCCUAGCGAUCCUGCGACCCCAGUCAGACCUGACGCCCAUCCCAGUCACCACCGGGUCCCCGCCGAUCCCUAUGUCAGUCGCCUCUACGUAACCCGUGGUGUGCACGACGGCCUUCACCCGGCGCCCUACCCUUAUCCUGGACAAGAGCCCGGCCACCGCACGUUCCCCGCAGAUCCCUAUGUCGGUGGCCACUACGCUCCCCGUGGUGGGCACGAGGGCCUUCACCCGGCAUCCUACUCAUAUCGCGGAGGAGAAGGUCCGGCGGGGGUUUCCGGGGUGUCGUUGUACGUCCACGGUCGUCGUGGUAGCGAACAACAUGGGUGGGGGCGAUUCAUCCGUUUCAUGGGGCUAAUCCACUCAGUCAUAGUGCUGGUCAAUCACAGAUUUCUACGGAAUUUGAAGCUGUGGAGAAUAUGAUUGAUCUCAAUUCUCAUUUUCCUCAGCUCCUGUUUAAUUGAUGGCUUAUUGUCCUCUAAAGCAUGCAGUUCCUCAACACAAGGAAUGCUCAUCAAGAAAAUAAUUGCUGUCAAUCUCAACCUUUAAGGGAAUGCAAUUCAUGGGUCGAAUCAUGCUUUCCUGUCCUUUAGAGUCGCAUUUUGACUGCGUAAAGUAAGUCUGACCAUGAUCAAUUGGUUCGUCUUCGGCAUCAUUGAAUUGGAUGACGUGGACUUGGGCCCGGCCCAGUUACGACCUUUACAUCGAGACGCCGACACAGGUUAAACCGGUACCGAACUCAGUUGUCGCAGUCCGAUAUAAAACGCGGAUCUGGACAAAACCACCGCCCUGUGCCUUGCCCAGGGCACGAGCACUAAUCGACGGCGAUUACGUCUCUUAUAUUUUGAUCUGACGGUCAAUAUCAAACCUGGCAUCGAAUCCGCCUCCCUAUUUAAACCCUUCGUCGGCCAUCCCACACCCCCAAACCCCCCACCCCCCCACCCGAGAUCUCCCUCUUCUCUCCUUGCUUGCCUCGCCCGCCGUCCUCAUCGAAGCGGCGGCGACGAUGCAACCGGUGGCUGGAGUGGAUCCGCGGCGCACCCCGUCGCCCCAGCCUUGGACGGCGGUGCGGUACCCGGCACCGGCGAUGGUGAUGCAGCACCCUAUGAUGGCGCCACCGCCGCCACCACUGCCAUACGGGCAUCCCUUCGUUCCCUACCCCCAUCCCCCGACGUCUCCGCCUCAGCCGCCGUCGAAAUCGAACCGCCACCAGUACGGCGAGGAGGCGGCGGCGGAGGACGAGAAGCGAACGAUCUGUGUGGGGGACCUCCAGUACUGGAUGGACGAAAACUACCUCCUCGGCUGCUUCGUCCAUUCCGGUGAGGUUGUCUCCAUAAAGGUUAUUCGCAAUGAGCAGACUGGACAAUCAGAGGGUUAUGGGUUUGUUGAGUUCCACUCACAUGCAACGGCUGAAAAUAUACUUCAGAGCUUCAGCGGUCAUCUGAUGCCUAACACAGAUCUGCCAUUUCGGUUAAAUUGGGCACCAUUUAGCAUGGGAAAUAAGCGUUCAGAUCUUACUUUCGAUCACUCUAUUUUUGUAGGUGAUUUAGCUUCUGAUGUUACUAAUGCAAUUUUGCAUGAAACUUUUACUACUAAGUACCCAUCAGUAAAAGGUGCAAAAGUUGUUAUUGAUGCUAAUACUGGUCGUUCAAAAGGUUAUGGGUUUGUAAGAUUUGGAGAUGAGAAUGAUAAAAAAGUUGCUAUCACCGAGAUGAAUGGUGUUUAUUGUUCUUCUAGGCCCAUGCGUAUUGGCCUUGCUACACCUAGAAAGUCUUCUGGUGGUCUUGGACCUGAUGGUGCAUCAGCAACCGGCUCCCAGUCAGAUAUAGAUUCAGCUAAGACAACAGUAUUUGUUGGAGGGCUUGAUCCAGAAGUCAGUGAAGAUAUCUGAAAGAAGCCUUUUCAUAGUAUGGAGAAAUCACCUCUGUUAAAAUUCCAGUUGGAAAACAAUGUGGUUUUGUUCUUUUUUCCCAUAGAAAUAAUGCUGAAGAAGCAUUGCAACAGUUAAAUGGUACAAUUAUUGGCAAGCAAAUAGUGCGUCUAUCCUGGGGUCACAACCCUGCUAGGCAGGUAUUGACUUUUAGAGUUUAAGCUAAAGCAUGUCUAUUAUUUAUCUACAAAAGAAAGAAUGACCUAUAAGUCUGAAAAAGAAAGAUUCUCGAUUCAUUUUAUUUUAGAUCUAAGAAUUUUCUUAGGUUAAGUUAGGCCUUUGUUUUCUAGUUUAAUUCAUAAAUAAUUUUGCUGCUAUAUUUUCUUUUAGGAAUGUUGUUAUGGCCAAUAAGGUUUUACGAUUAAAGCAAAGUUUAGAGCCGUCAGAUGAAGAGUUCAUUAAAAAGUUAGUAUUUGUACUUUUAUUAUAUUUUUUUUAUUGUAAUUUGUAAAAAACCCUUAAGCCUCGAUAUCAUGGGAGAAGUUUUAAAUUAUAUGGAUACCAAGAAAGUCAUGCACCUCCACAUAGUGUCCACUGCAUGGAGUACUAUGAUCUCAAACCAUGAUCAAACCAAAAGAGUGAUCCUAUGACUGACCUUUAAGAAAUAUUCUAAUUGGAAUGCAUAAUAUAGUAGACAAUCGAAAGUCCUUUGAGGUGAGUGUACCAUUUUACUAUAAAGAAUACAAUGUUCUACAAAUCUAUCAUGUUUGGAUAGUAUUUUUAUCUUAUCCCCAAAUCAGUCUAUAUAAUCCAUUUUAUAAAAUGCGAAUUGAUCUCCCUACUUGCGAUGAACGUAUCUUCUAAGGAUCUACUUACCUAUCGUCAGUUUUGGAGAACCCUGAUAAUACAUUCAUUUUGACAACAUACACAACAGUAUAUAGUUGGAGAAAGCAAGAUUCUUCGUGGAGUAUUGAGGAAAUACCCAAUCAUGAUCAUUGGUGCAUCAUAAGCUAGACAUGACAUUUCUAUGCACUAGAGACACUUAGUACUGAAUUGGUUGGUUUUCAAUUGUUCCCUAUACGGGUCACUCGGUUGGGUAUGAAAAUUCUUGUUGAAGCAAAAGUGUGCAUUUCAUGUAUUUAUUUGGUUGAAUCUUAUGAAGAAUUGUGGUUUGCCUUACAACAUAAAUUUUGUGAUAUCUAUGUAUAUCAAUUAGAUCUAGAGAGUAAGGCCUGUGUAAAGAUGGAUAGCUUAGGUAAUCGAGUAUUAUUUCUAGAUGAUAAUGCCAAUUCUUUCGGGAUCUCCGUCCCAACUCAUGAGACAAGAUAUAAGAGUAAUUGCAUAUAUCUUAUCCAUUGUAAUAAAGUUCUAAUUAUAAAUGAUGACUGUCAGAAAAUAAUUUGGAAAAAAGUAGAUCGUAAAA